rnacentral:pre_miRNA from 1 species
CAACGUUCCCGCCCACUCGGACCUCCACGUGGCGGCCGAGCGAGGGCCUCGGGGUGACGC